ACCUGGCCAAUGAGAUGAAGUUGUACCACUUCCAUCAGUCCCGACAUUUGUCAAAGAAGUGCAGUUUGCAUAUUGUAAGGCAGAAGAGCCUGUGCUGGUCUCACUAGUCCCAGUGCUUCUCAAGGAAAAACAUGUGCUUGAUGAAUCGCCGGAGGACUUUGAAGUUGGCAGUCACCCAUUGCUAAUAAAUCUGAGCCAAAUAUGGAAGUUACUGUGAAGUGCCUGCAGGAUGACUGCAAUUUUUUUUCAACGUCUUGGCAAAUUUGAGAACAUACGCUGCAAAAGCAUAUGCUUGCAGAGGAGAAAGGGAAGUUUAUAUUCCAGACAAUGGAUGGUAAGUAACUUCGUAUAAUAAUUUUAUGAUGUGCAAGAAAAGUAAAGUGUCUGGUAAAUCUACAGAAUUUCCUUCUUUGUGCCUAUAGUAUUCUGAUGCACUGUGUUACCCUGUAAAGUUUCUUUCAGUACAACUAUGAGGAUUAUUUGUGGUAACAGCAUAUUAUCAUAAGAAAUGGCUUCGGUAUUUAAGUUGCAAUCUUUGUAACUUUUGUUGGUCAGAAUUUGUGUAGUAACUGUAUUCUAACUUCAGUAUCACUCUAAUAUUUUGUUUCAGUAACAUGUUCCUUCACACUUGAAAAUUUCUGAAUGUUCAAAAUGACAUCAGUGACCAUAGUCAGUAUUUUUACAGUAAAAUUGCUAUGAAUUGCAGUGACAGAAUCCAGAUUUGUGAGUGGUGUUACCUAUUUUUGUAAUGGAUGUUUCAGAGUUUCUGAAGUGAAAGUCCAAAGAAGAGAAGACAGCAAGAAGUAGCUAUUUGUGUUUUUCAUGGUUUAUAGGCCUACUGGGGAAACUUGCCAUGUAAAAAAAAUGAGUAACGCCUCAAGCUUGGUACCUGUAUGGUGAUGUGGAAAUCCGAGCAUUGUUA